rnacentral:misc_RNA from 1 species
UCUUUUCUUUUGAUAAGAGAGUUUUUAAAACCAGUGUUAUUUAUGUAAGUUUAAGAGAAGUUUAUGUAUUAAAUUAUUGAUAUUAAAUAGUUUUAUUAGGCUUAGACUUAAUUUUAGGUCAUUUUGGGGGUUUAGCUCAGUUGGCUAGAGCAUCGGCUUUGCAAGCCGAGGGUCAAGGGUUCGAGUCCCUUAACCUCCAUUGGGCUUAUGCCCUAAAUUGUAAUUAAGUAUGUUUUUAAGUAACUUUGUUAAAGUAAUUGUUGGAAUGUGAAACACAAGAAGUUAAAAUUUCUGGGUUAAGUUGAGACCUGUUGAUAUUAAGAAAAAUGUCUAGAAGCAAAAGCAAGCUUUCGACAAAACCCGAAGUUGUUUCGCUAAAGUGCAAGGAUUAAACAGGAUUGUAUUUUUCAGCAGCCUAUUUUAUAAACGAUCUGCAUUUAGUAAAUAGUUUUUAGUUAGGAAAUAAUGUAGAUUACUAAGUGUAAUGUCUGAGAGAAGGACAAGUAUUGUAGCGAGCUUAAAUCCUUAUUAUCGUUGCCAGUAUUUAGUGGUAGGGAUUCGGAUAAGAUUGCCAGUUAUAAGUUGGAGGAAGGCAAAGAUUGCAUUAAAUCGUUAUCGCUCUUAUGUUUUAGGUUACAAGUUUGCAACAAUAACUCAAAAAAGCCAAGCAAAAUACCAUAAAGCAGAUUUCAGUUUGGAUUUGCCCGACACUCAAUGGCAUGAAGUUGUAAUUGUUAGUAAUCG